rnacentral:misc_RNA from 1 species
GGUGGACCCAUCUACUAAAAUGAUAUUAGAGCAUGUUGUAUGGGAUUGAAAAGUAGAAAAAAAGACUCCAAUUACCUGUCAUAUGAUAUGUAGUACCUUAAUCAAUGAGCCACUUGGAUGAUGAGGAAACAAGACACAUAGAGGAAUUACCUGACUUGAUGAUAGCUGUAGUAGGAGUAGUGAACUUCAAUGUUAAUUGAUAUUGACAAAAUUGGGCAUAUUCAUGUGCAGAUAGUCGUAAUAUUACUUUCUGCCAUUGUCUUCAAGGAAUUGUAACGUAGGCAAGUAGCUGAUUAUGUUGCACAAGAGUAAAACACAAAAAAGAGACCCAAAAUAUCCUAAAAAAGUUGUUGUAGUGAAUUCAGUUGCUAAAAAAUUAGGUCACAACCGAUACAAAUGCCUAGAAGCCAAAUUAGAAGUAGUUUCGAAGGUUGGAAUAUGGGGCCCAACACCUUAAAACAUAUUUGCUAGAUUUGUUGGAUCCCUCUGAGUUCGCAAUCUAGUUUGUUCGUCCCAAUUUGUGGAAUGUUUGCGUCCCAGUUCGUUAGGGGAUGCGACCGAAGUUGCCAAAAUAAGCAAAUCCAAAAGAAGAAGAAGAAGAAAAAG